rnacentral:rRNA from 1 species
CCUACGGGGGCUGCAGUGGGGAAUAUUGGACAAUGGGCGAAAGCCUGAUCCAGCCAUGUCGCGUGUGUGAAGAAGGCCUUCGGGUUGUAAAGCACUUUCAGUGGGGAAGAAAGCCUUGGGGCUAAUACCCUCGAGGAAGGACAUCACCCACAGAAGAAGCACCGGCUAACUCCGUGCCAGCAGCCGCGGUAAUACGGAGGGUGCGAGCGUUAAUCGGAAUUACUGGGCGUAAAGCGCGCGUAGGCGGUCUGAUAAGCCGGUUGUGAAAGCCCCGGGCUCAACCUGGGAACGGCAUCCGGAACUGUCAGGCUAGAGUGCAGGAGAGGAAGGUAGAAUUCCCGGUGUAGCGGUGAAAUGCGUAGAGAUCGGGAGGAAUACCAGUGGCGAAGGCGGCCUUCUGGACUGACACUGACGCUGAGGUGCGAAAGCGUGGGUAGCAAACAGGAUUAGAUACCCGUGUAGUC